GGCUCUCAACUUGUCUUCUGGUCGAAUUGCUGGCAGAGCUCUUACAGGUUCCCUUCCCCAGACUCAGGCGUCCGGAGGCCCAGGUUUUGUGGGGUUGGAAAGCCCCCCACGUGCUUCUCAGCACAGCCAAGCUGAGAACUACAGGCAAAGGACUCUCUGAUCUUUGGGGUCCACGUGGACCCCUUUUGUCAGGAGAGGCGGAUGGUUUCGGGCCCUGUGACACGGUUCACGCGAUGGGUGGCAAGCCCUGUGUCGAGCCAGUGUGGGCAGCCAGAGCGGUGACCCUUUGGCCGGGACGGAAAGGACCUUCCGGGGACCAGGUCUGGGGCUCAGGACGCUAACCUGCAAGGCCCCGGCCGGUUGUGGUUUGGAAGCACAGCGGGUACCUUUCUAGGAAGAGCAGGUAACGCAAAUCAGGGCUAUGGAGAGGAGAGUUUGGUAUAAAUACUUUAUUAAAGAAAUAUUGCUUUCUUGUUAAAAAAUACUACAUUAAAGAGAGCUCUGGGUUCUCAGUCUCUCCUGACCGAAUCACAGUGUGAGAAUCGUUUCCUCUCUAGGAACCUUCAGGCCACGGAUUAGAUUAGCAGGACAUCCACACACAAGAGAAAAGAACUCUGAAACCUGCUGUCGCCCCCCGUUUCUCGGGGCCUGCGAACGGCAGUUUGAUGUUUCCUCUGCCCGCCUUUACGAUGGGGAAUCUGCAGGCAGAGAAGCCCCCCGCGGUCCCCCGGGGGCAGAGCGAGGCUGGGCUUACACAGGCGCUAAAGUAGGGACACAGCGAGACCUGAAUCAACAGAGUUUAUUACUCGUAGCCAGUGGUCACGAAAUGCCCUUCACUGGACACCAUCAGAUGAGGGUACGACAGCUGUGGCGUCAUGCAGACAGGAACGUAAGGACAGGCCAGGACCGGGUGCAGGUUUGUGCUGGGAGCAGGCACCUCCAGGCGUCCCGUCCGUACGCAGGCCACACGGUUCUCACACAGAAACCUCUGGCCCGGGGCUGCUGGGCCACCGGGGCACCCCCAGCGGCACGCAGGCCGCACCACGUCGCCACCACCCUGUGGCCCAGGGGCUCGUCCUUUCGCGGCGCCUCAGCCGCCCUCGUGUGGCACCAGGAAGUGGUAUUGCGGGCAGUACUUCCUCUGGGCUGUUUCUUUCUCCUGCUGUUCUGUGGCCGGACCAGCUUGCCCGCCCCCGUGCCCCUAGUCGCAAGUGGUAUUGUAGUCUUUCAGAUAACAUUUAAAACUUUUACUGUGUGUUUUGGGUGCUAACAGGCAGGGUAUUGGGUGCGUAUCGGGUGAGUUGUUACUGGUUUGCAGACAGGAACAGAAGGCAGGAGGAUCACGUUUGUGCCUGACUCGUUGGAAGGGGGUCCCGGCUCCUGGGGGGCUGGGACUGAGGGCGCGGCGUGAUGCCAGAGGAGGAGCUGGACCUUCCCGGGCAGCGGGCUGGGUGAGCCGGGUGGCGGACGUGCAGCGGCAGGCGCCUGAGAAGUGUCUCUCCCCUAAGCACGGAGGGGCCUGGGCCGAGGGGUCCACGCGUGAGCGUGGGGGUCUCGCGGAGCAGGCAGGACCGGCCCCGGCUGGGCUUGGGGCUGCCUCGCCCGCGUGGUGUGGGGUCUCACGGGGCUCGGCCCACAGGAAGCUUUUCUGCUUUGGCCAUGCUCACAGCUGUCCCUCGGGACCAGCCUGACCCAGGGCUGCAGGAGGGGGCAUGGAGGAGCCAGGAACCUCCCCUCCCUCACACCUGCCGGGCUUUGGUCCCGGGAGCCCCGCCCUCGCAGCCAGCUUCUCUUCUAGUCUACGAGCUGGUCCUGACCGCUGCGGUCACAGUGCUGGGCUCUGUGGGACCAGCGUCUACUGUUGUCACUUAAGACGGACCUCAGACUUUGGAACAGGGGUCUGGGAGCGCUGUGCCCGCUUUCCUGGAGGUGCCGACUGCCCCCUGUGGCUUGAGCAUGAUCCCUAAAGCUCUACACGGCCAGCGGGAGGGCACGCACGGCCUGGGGUCUGGCGAGCGGCCUGGCUGCAAGGUGUCCUGGAGCUGGGGUGAUGGGUGCAGACACACCUGGCAGGUGUGGCCCAGGGACCCCGCCAGCCCUGCGCUGCACGUCCUGCCCUAGACCAGGGACCCUGCGGCCGGCAUGCUGAGAGAGGCUAAGGCGCUUCCCAGGUUUGGCACUCGAGCUGCACAGGUGUGAAGAAAGGCCUUGUAGAUUAAGGUGAAUGCGGACGGAUGCUGAAACACAGAACAGACGUGACUCAAGACACAAGGCCGGGCCAUGAGGGGCUGGGCUGGUGGCCCUGGGACCAGGCGGUGUAGCUGCCGCCACCACACAGGCCUGCGCGUCUGCUCCCCUCCUCACGGCGUUCUCACCGAGCCAGCGGCUCCUCCCCGUGGCCGCCAGCUUGUAGGGGCACCGUGGGGGGACGGCAAGACAGACUGGAGGGGACAGGAGGCGAGCGGGGACGCGCUCCACCUCUCUCCUGGGCCUCGGAGUCUGGGCAGCCGUGGGCUGGGAGUCCCCUCGCUGCUUCCCACGGACCCAGGGCCACGCCUUCCCUGGAAGAAGAGCCCACGGCAGAGGCACCGUGGGGAGGUGGACCCUUCCAGGAAGAGCCCAGGCUGUCCCGGGACUGCCACAAGGCGGUGCCUGCCUGGCCAGCGAGGGGCUGUUUCUCAGCACCUCCCGCGUUUCCUCUGAAACGGCUCCAGACAGGUGCAGAGAGCCUGAC